GAUUAACGCUGGCGGCGUGCCUAACACAUGCAAGUCGAGCGGCAGCGCGUUUUUCACUGUUUUCUGGAUGCUUCUAGUUGCUAGAGACGCUUUAUUCAGGAAUUUUGUGUAAAAUGUCGGCGAGCGGCGGACGGCUGAGUAACGCGUGGGAACUUCACUCCAAGCGCGGGAUUACGUAUCGAAAGGUGUGCUAAUCUCGCAUAUGGCAUUCGGCUUAAAGCCUUCGGGCGCUUUGGGAACGGCAUGCGUAAGAUUCGAUAGUUGGUGGGGUAAUCGCCUACCAAGUCGACGAUCUUUAACUAGUGUGAGAGGAUGAUUAGUCAGACUGGAACUGAGACACGACCCAGACUCCUACGGGAGGCAGCAGUGAGGAAUCUUCCACAAUGGGCGAAAGCCUGAUGGAGCAACGCCGCGUGCAGGAUGAAGGCCUUCGGGUUGUAAACUGCUUUUAUAAGUGAGGAUUAUGACAGUAACUUAUGAAUAAGGAUCGGCUAACUACGUG
rnacentral:rRNA from 1 species